UGAGGAACAUGACCUUCGGCGGGGGAUAGCCGGCCCAACGGCCGGGUAAUACCGCGUACGACCUCUCGGGGACAUCCCCGGUUGGUGAAAGCAGCAAUGCGCCGAUAGAGUGCCUCGCGGCCUAUCAGUUAGUUGGUGGGGUAACGGCUCACCAAGGCAACGACGGGUAGCUGGUCUGAGAGGAUGGCCAGCCACAUUGGGACUGAGACACGGCCCAGACCUCCGUACGGGGAGGCAG
rnacentral:rRNA from 1 species